CCCUAGGGAUCUCAGGUGCAAGCAAUGCAGUUGAAUGCACUCAGAAGGGGGUGCAGACAGGAUCCACUCCUUCCCAGACCUCAUAAUGUGUUGGCAGUGGAGGUGAAGGAAUUCUGCUGGAGAUCCCUGCAUAAUUGAGGCUUUUCAAAAGUAAACAGCAUCUUCCCUUUACUUCUGUGCUUGUAGCUGCUGCUUUUGAGUAAAUUUUCACUUACUAUAGCCUAGGAUCUUGCUGCUCUGCUGUCAUUACUGUGUUUUCCAUUAUGUCACGUACAGAGCUGGUAAACUCUAUUGUCUUAAUAGAAAAAGAAUGCUGGCAUUUGGAGUUUUCAUCCUAAUUUGAGACAGAACUGGGUGUAAAAUAGCUAGGGUUUUUCAUAAAACAAAAAUUACAUUUUUCAGGCAGUUCUAUACAGACUCAUUAGAAAACACAGGCCAUCUCCCUUCAGUAAGAUUAUUCCAGAUACCAUUAGUAAUUUUUUUUUCUAGUCUGAAUAGAUUUUCGUAACCUGUUUUUGAAUGCUGCAAGUGCGAUUAUUUGAUUUCUUUCAACUGGGAUAUAAAGAUACAUUCAUGGGAUAUAAACCUAAUAAAGGAGAAAAAACAAAAACAUUAAUAUGAAAGAUUACCUGUGAAAAGAUAUCUGAUCUGAAGGGAAAUUUCUUUAUGACACAAAACAUAAGCAUCUCCAAACACACCCCUCACUAAAAUAGACUUUGGUUCUGGAAUACAUUGAAUCUGUUUUAUUCCUUUUUGCCAUAGCACUUAGCUCAAGAAAUGCUGCAUCAAACCUAACCAAAACACAAAAUUACCAAGCGGUAAAUAUAUUGAGCCACCUCAGCUUUCCAUCUCUCUUCCAUUAGGUAGAACACCCCAAAGUUCUGUAUUUAGUUCAAAUAUUUAACUGUAGUUCACGUGCUCUAUCUUCAUUAGAUGCUUACUAGUUUCUAAUACACAGAUGAGAGUUCUCUUUCCCUGAAGAUAUUUCAGAAAGAAGGUUCCUGAACCACCAGUUUGAGUAGUCCUAGAGAAGGCCUGACUAGGCUAUUAGCUAAAUUAUUCUUUCUGCUUCUGCUUUGUUUUUAAAUAUUAUGUUAAAUAAGGCUGAAUUACUAACAAGCGCUUUCCUUUAAGACUAGUGUGUGUGGCCAGGGAAAAACUCAUAGUAAAACCUAGAGAAAAGCUGUUUCUGCUUACGAGGACCCCCAGCCCCACACACCCACUCUUUGUCUGAACCAUCAGCAGUACCUGGUGUUGGUGGAAGCUUCUAGAGGCUGUGCUGCUGGGGAUGAGGCUCAGGGGAGAGGAGCAUGAGGAAGGCUGCUGAUCCAACAGAAUUCUGGGUCCCAUAGCUUAUAUUCCAUGGACAAUUUUGCAUAAAAGAAAAAGACAUAGCAUGCACCAAAAAAACUGUUUCCCCAUGCUUCAGUGGUUACCUUCUUGACUGCAGACUAUUCCCAAGGACCAUGUGAAAGGUGAUGUGCCCUACCAGUGACACCUGCAGAGCUGACCUGCACACACACAAACCACAGGCCUUCUUUCAAGGAGCUGCCAACCCUUGUGGUCUUCUCAGAACUGCGUUCAAAAUAACUUACCAUGGACAAGCCACGGUUAUUAAGUUAUACCUCUCAUCAUAGCAGAUGGUCUUUGAUGGGCUUCUACUGUAAUACGAGUAACCAAAUUAAAACUUCCCAGCACAACACAGACAGACUACAAGCAAAAGCUUUGGAGUAACUAAGUGGUGCCCAGUGAGGAAUCAGAGGACAUGGAACCAGCCUUCUCUCGGAGGCGUAUGGUGAAAGUCACAAGUUGGAACAAGGAAAAUUCCUGCUGGAUUUGAGGGAGUGGCUGAGCAGAAACAAGUCCAACAGGUUGCCCAAACCGUGUCAUCUCCAUCCUUUGGAUCCACAGCUUGAAUGACAGCAACCACGGCUGGGGGCUGGAGCUACACAGCCUUUAAGGUCCUUUCCAACCCAAGCCAUUCUAUGGUUGGAACCUGAUCCACGUCCUGGCCUCGAGGAGGAGACCUCCAGUGCUCAUCUCCAAUCUAACUCACUGCAUGACUCCAUGAAGCAAUGUGACAGUGCUCAGCAUGCGCCAGUGCUUCCAGAAGAUGAAUAAAGCAGAUUUACAAGGACUACUCAUCGUCUUGAAGUCAUUUCUCAAUUUUCCCAGCCUCACCAUCUCACUAAAAGUGAAGUGAUUUCAUAGCAUCUGGGCAGAUGAGCUGAGCACACUAACAUCCUGGCUAAAUUUUCAUCUAGCUACAAGAUAACCAGGCACAUAUAAACUACAUAGUUGAUCUUGUGAUUAAUUGUUAGCUUGCCUAGACACUUGCCUAGACACAUCAGAGCACACCACCUUGCUUAACUGCCCAGCAAUCUCAGUAAGCAGACUGCCAUCCCAUAUGAGACAAAAGUGCAGCCCUGCAGCAGGAGCUCCUGACUCAUGGGGGAGACUGAAAUGACAGCGUGGAAAUAAACAAAGCUCAGCUCAACACAAAGUGAAGCUGUCAACUAUUACAAUGACUCCUGCCCAAACAGAUUUAGAUGAAGUGUGUAAAAUGCCAGCUGGCGGUUGUGCUCUAAACUGAGCUCCCUUCAAACUUCCUCACAUGCUAACCGCUCCCCAAGCACUCCAGGAGCAGGCCUGGCUGCCUCCUCCCACAGGGCUUCAGCUAUGCUCUGCCAGGUCCAAAGCAAACAAAACCAUCACCACUAAGAGCAGGGGAGAGCAGGCAGCUGGAAGUGCUGGUGACCACUGGGAGCCGUAAUAAAGUGCCUCAGAGAAACAGCUCUGGGCUGAAGCUGAGUGACACAGGCUGUAGUAAACGUUUCCUUAGCCAUACUGACUCACCUGAACAGGCAUCAGACCUUGCUUAAUACAGUCAGCUUUUCUUCAGUGCUCCAUUACAAGUAGCGGAAAAGCAAGUCUAUUCUUCAGGUGGCAGGCACAGAUGAUUCAGUCCUGUUUAUUUUCUCAUGAUUCAGAGGGAUUUCUAUUUCUGGUCACUCACAUAACAACAAACUCAAGUUGGUAUACGCUGCAAGGGAUAACUCUCUGUUAUGUAAAAUGAAGUUUCCUCCAAACACACCUUGUUACUAAGUGUUUCAGCCCUCUCUAUGUCUGGACUUGACAAACAGAAGAACUGCCUAAGGCAAUACUUUUCAGAGUAAAAUUCAGACAGAAAACUUGAGCUUUCUUAGAGGCCUAUGCUAAGAAAUGCAGCUCCCGUAUACAGCCAUUCCUCCCUCCAGAGCUUCACGUGUCACAAAGGUCCAAACUCUGCAGCACUGGGACUGGAGGUCCAGGGGUCAGUGUCCUUCACCACCUUCUAGUUUGUGUAUCUCAAGAGUGGAAAUAUCGUUUACAGCUGUCAUUUCAGUAAUUACGUGGUACUGAGCACUAACCCAAGAUGGAGAAUCUCAAUAUUAUCUACAGUAGUUAUACUACAAUGAAGAAUUCCCAGCUAUGAGUAAUGCUAAAUUACAUCAGUAACAGCACCCCAUCAGCACAUCUUAGAAUUGCAUAACCACAGUCCUACAUUAUCAGGUAAGAAAACUUCCUGAGAUUACAAGGAAAAAAAGGCAACACUUC